AGAUUGAACGCUGGCGGCAGGCCUAACACAUGCAAGUCGAGCGGAUGAAGGGAGCUUGCUCCUGGAUUCAGCGGCGGACGGGGAGUAAUGCCUAGGAAUCUGCCUGGUAGUGGGGGAUAACGUCCGGAAACGGGCGCUAAUACCGCAUACGUCCUGAGGGAGAAAGUGGGGGAUCUUCGGACCUCACGCUAUCAGAUGAGCCUAGGUCGGAUUAGCUAGUUGGUGGGGUAAAGGCCAACCAAGGCGACGAUCCGUAACUGGUCUGAGAGGAUGAUCAGUCACACUGGAACUGAGACACGGUCCAGACUCCUACGGGAGGCAGCAGUGGGGAAUAUUGGACAAUGGGCGAAAGCCUGAUCCAGCCAUGCCGCGUGUGUGAAGAAGGUCUUCGGAUUGUAAAGCACUUUAAGUUGGGAGGAAGGGCAGUAAGUUAAUACCUUGCUGUUUUGACGUUACCAACAGAAUAAGCACCGGCUAAC
rnacentral:rRNA from 1 species